rnacentral:tRNA from 1 species
AAAGAAUUAGUUAAACUAACAUUAGUAUGUCAAGCUAAAAUUAUUAGUAUAAAUCUAAUAUUCUUUG